GUAUGCUAACCAUUCUCCAUCCCUAAUCCUCCUCUCUGAUCAAUUUUGUCUACCAUGGAUGUAUCAUAUGGCGGAAUCAUUUUGACCGUCCUGGGUGAAUGCUUGCUGCCGACAUCAAAAUCGAAGAUCAACCCAUCACCCACACUUGAUCUUGCAGCAACGUCACCCUCAUCAUCUUAAGGUUAUCUUGUCGCUGAUCGUCAGCGUCAAUUCUCCAUCGAGGUCGUUGCCUGCUGCAUAUAUCCCCAUGUUUAUGUAUGAUGCUUGUGCUGGUUGCUAUCGAUGUUAUAGUGGAGCUACAUGAGGAGCAGAUCUUUGUAAAGUGGAACCACCAACAAGUGUUUGAAAGGCAAGUGUAACAAAGGCUUCCUUGUACCUAUGAACAUUGUUUAAUUCAUACAUAUGCAUGUGUCUAAAUUGAAAUGCC